rnacentral:rRNA from 1 species
AUGAAUGAAAAAGGUAUUAAAGCUGAGGAUGUUAAAAAUUUACCUCCUAUUGAAGAAAUACAUGGGCUUAAUACACCACCGCCACCUAAGGUAGUAGAGGUAAAUUCUCUAAUGAAAUUCAAUGAUAAUGACAAUCCACACAAUAUGCACCCUAGCCAAUGCCUUUAUGAGUUUGAAAAUUACAUUAGAAAACAAGAUCACUUCAAUGCAAAUGUUAUGAAACAACUGAAAUACAAUUCUGAUAUGAUUGCUCGCUUGAGUGAUUUGUUAUUUAGAAUCUCAAAUGAUGUUAGAGGUGUGGGGAAGCAUGCUUCUAUGGUUCAAACUCAGUUAGAACAAGUUGCUAAAUCUCAAAGAGAGUUGCUUGAUGAAAUGAAUAAUAAUAUGAAUGAUCAUGUUGUUAGAGUAAUGACUAGAGGAGGUAGGAUGACUCAGGAACCAGUUUAUCCCGAGGGACACCCAAAAAGAUUGAACAAGACUCUCAAAGAGGUAACACUGAUG